rnacentral:misc_RNA from 1 species
AAGUCGUAACAAGGUUUCCGUAGGUGAACCUGCGGAAGGAUCAUUACUGAGUACCGGGUCCUCUGGGCCCGCACUCCCACCCUUUGUGUACCUAUAUCUAUUCGGUUGCCUUGGCGGACCUCCGCCCUGGACCUCGCGGUCCCGGGCGUAGCCGCCGGGGGACCCCCCCUAAACUCUUGCAAACGGUACUGUCUGAGAACAAGAAAAUAAGUUAAAACUUUCAACAACGGAUCUCUUGGUUCUG